AUUGAACGCUGCGGCAGGCUUAACACAUGCAAGUCGAGCGAGCGGCGGACGGGUGAGUAAUGCUUAGGAAUCUGCCUAUUAGUGGGGGACAACAUCUCGAAAGGGAUGCUAAUACCGCAUCCUAAUAGAUGAGCCUAAGUCGGAUUAGCUAGUUGGUGGGGUAAAGGCCUACCAAGGCGACGAUCUGUAGCGGGUCUGAGAGGAUGAGCCGCCACAAUGGGACUGGGGCACGGGCCAGAACCCUAACGGAGGGAGCAAUGGGGAAAAUUGGCCAAUGGGGGGAAAGCUGGUCCAGCCAAGGCGGGUGUGUGAAGGAAGCCUUAUGGUUGGAAAGAACUUGAAACGAGGAGGCGUUACUCGAAGAAAAAGCACCGGCUAACUCUGUGCCAGCAGCCGCGGUAAUUC
rnacentral:rRNA from 1 species